rnacentral:rRNA from 1 species
UACGGAGGGUGCGAGCGUUGUCCGGAAUCACUGGGCGUAAAGGGCGCGUAGGUGGCCCGCGCAAGCGUGCGGUGAAAGCCCGGGGCUCAACCCCGGGUCGGCCGUGCGGACUGCGGGGCUGGAGCACUGUAGGGGCGGGUGGAAUUCCGGGUGUAGCGGUGGAAUGCGUAGAGAUCCGGAAGAACACCGGUGGCGAAGGCGGCCCGCUGGGCAGUUGCUGACACUGAGGCGCGACAGCGUGGGGAGCAAACAGG